AAACACCUGCAAAAGUUUCUUAAGCCUUUAAUCUCUGUCUGGUUCUGGUGCUCACAAUGAACUUUUCCACCAUAUUCAGUUUUUUUAGAUUUGAGAUGUUCCUGUACUGAUGUAACAAAAGUAAUAACAGGCUAGUUUAAUGAAUAUCACUGUCCAAUCACAUCACAUGUCUGAAUCUCAUAAAUAUCAACCAAAGUCAGGUUAACCCUAACCCUUUUUUACUUUUAUUGCACACAUGAGACUAAAGUUAUUAGUUUCAGCCAGUUGUGGUGGCGUCUCGGCCUCAGUCUAAAAGUUUUACACGUCUCCAGAUGCAGCUGUGUUUGCUUAGCUUAAAGCCCCAAAGCUUCAUAAUGCUUCAUCCACUCAUCACCACUCGCUAGCUACUGUCAGCCGAUCUGACUGUGUUUGAGUCUGAGACUAUUAUUUUGUCCCCCAGAUGAGUCAGCUGGGGAAGAGGAAGGACGGGCGUCACAGCAGCUGGAUUAACUACAAACUGGUGAUCCAGGGACUCCAGAAGAAAUAAAAAGUGAAAGCAGAGCACAUGAAGAGACUGUUCCCCCCUCAGUCUCAACUCCCCUGGAUCCCUCCUGCCUACCUGCCACCGAUCCAUCGUUCUCUUCCUUCCAUCCAUCACCAUGAUCCCUCCCCUCAACUCUCCAUCUCUCACCUUUCCAUUACCUCAUUCAUCACUCUGAUCCCA